CAAAAACAUAGGUUUCUGCUAAGUCGCAAGACGAUGUAUAGGAGCUGACGCCUGCCCGGUGCUGGAAGGUUAAGGGGAUCUGUUAGAGCAAUCGAAGCAGGGAACUUAAGCCCCAGUAAACGGCGGCCGUAACUAUAACGGUCCUAAGGGAGCGAAAUUCCUUGUCGGGUAAGUUCCGACCCGCACGAAAGGCGUAACGAUUUGGGCACUGUCUCAACA
rnacentral:rRNA from 1 species